UUGUUGUACUUGUGUGAAUCAGCACAGACUUGUGCUUGUUGUAGAGUGGCUUGUUAGUUGUAAAUAAAAUCAUUCACAUCAGGGUAGUGCACUUGGUAAAACCUGUUCAACCUGAAGACACACCUGCUCUGUUUCUGUAAGCUGAGACUGACAUAAAGGCCGACACUCUGCCGUCUAUAAUAGCCUGUGAGUGUCUUUAAAGGUGAAGGUGUGUGCUCACUGCUCUCCUCUCAGGAAAGUCUACUCAACAAGAGAAAAGAUUCAAACCGACAGAGAGGCGACUCUGAAAGCAAAGGAUCUGAUCCAUCUAUCCUCAAACCAUUAUAUUCAUAUUCUUGCUUUUGUCAAACAAACCAAAGCAUCAUGGGAAAAGGUGAGAGUGAGGAGUGGGAUGAAAAGCACCCGGACACGAGGCAAACUCAACCCCAGAAACAUGAGGACACAGACAAUAACAGCUCAGGGAAAAGUUGUCCCAAGUGCUGCUUGCGGACAAGGGACUGCCUGAUGAGUGGCGAGUGUGGCCGGGCACUUCAGAUCUCCAGUGUUGUUGCUAUGUGUGGAAUGUGCAUUCGCAUGUGGAUGUGACCUAGCCUUGGACACCAGGACCAGGUUCUCCACUCUUUGUCGGUUUUCAGCUUCCUUCAGUGCCUUUCAUGAAAGGCAUGCUGUAUGGUUUUCUUCUAAUUUAAGUUGAAAUAUAUGGAUGUAUAUAAUUUCAGCAGCUAAAGUUGCCUUUAAUUCUCACAGUCUCCCACAAAUUAUUUAUUUAACAUGUCUGUGUAUUGUAUAUAGAACAAAUUAGAAAGACAAUUGCUAUUAAUGAAUGUGACUUUGAUCUGAAUGUUUUUGUAAAAGAUAGUUGGAAGCCUGUCUGAUUUAUCACUUCUGACUGAUUGAAAUGCUACAGUAUUUCAUCAGUCCAGAUGUUGAAAUUUAUAGUUGUGUGGUUUCAAUAAUGUAAAAUAACUGUAAUAUUAUAAUAGUUAUAUGACGACAUGGGGGAAUAAAUAAUACUACAGUGUAACCCCAAAAUAUGAGUAAGAUGACCAGAUGUAAGGGAAACAAAUGUGACACAUUUGAAGUAAUAAAAAACUUUAAAGUUUUCAGUAGCAACUCUGUAACAAGGACAAAAAUGUAUUCAAUUCAGUGAUAGACCUGUGAUUAAUAAAAACACUUU